rnacentral:rRNA from 1 species
UAGGGAAUAUUGGACAAUGGGCGCAAGCCUGAUCCAGCCAUGCCGCAUGAGUGAAGAAGGCCCUCGGGUUGUAAAGCUCUUUUGUCCGGAAAGAAAAGCAUCGGGCUAAUACCCUGGUGUUCUGACGGUACCGGAAGAAUAAGCACCGGCUAACUUCGUGCCAGCAGCCGCGGUAAUACGAAGGGUGCAAGCGUUACUCGGAAUUACUGGGCGUAAAGCGUGCGUAGGUGGUUUGUUAAGUCUGAUGUGAAAGCCCUGGGCUCAACCUGGGAAUGGCAUUGGAAACUGGCGGACUCGAGUGCGGUAGAGGGGUGUGGAAUUCCCGGUGUAGCAGUGAAAUGCGUAGAGAUCGGGAGGAACACCAGUGGCGAAGGCGACACCCUGGACCAGCACUGACACUGAGGCACGAAAGCGUGGGGAGCAAACAGGAUUAGAUACCCUGGUAGUCCACGCCCUAAACGAUGCGACUGGAUGUUGGUGCAACUUGGCACUCAGUAUCGAAGCUAACGCGUUAAGUUCGCCGCCUGGGGAGUACGGUCGCAAGACUGAAACUUAAAUGAAUUGACGGGGUCAUAGCUGUUUCC